UUGGUUCUUAAGGACACGUGUUGUGUUUUGCGGGCUUUGUGUUCUUCUCUCUCUCUCGAAGCAUUCUGUGUCUCUCUCUUCGCUCUGUUUCGUCGAAAGCACCGCGUCUCUCCAUCUCUCCUUGACUAAUCCGCUGGGUGAUUUCUUCAUCUCUUCCUUAGUUUAAUCGCAGCUAUUUCAUAUGGCAUUGCUUCAAUGGCUAUGGUCUUUAUCAACAAAGCUGUUAUCAUGCAGUAUCCACACUCCAUGACUGUUCUUACUCUACAGGUAUGUGGCAGUUGUAUGGCCUGAUGUCCUGUACUUCUCUAUCUACAAGGUUAGUGACUGGUCCACUGCGUUGCUUGUUCUCAUGUAAUUUGUUUACUGCUGUCUUUUGUUUAGCCAGCUAACUUUGUUCUCUUGCUACUCUUUUUUUUAUGUUUGUAUGUUUCCUGUUUUUGUUAUUGAUGAGGAGCAUUGCGUUGCUUGUUCUUAUGACUUGUUGCAUGUCCUCAAAGCAUAUGAAAAAGAGUGAAAGACUAGUAAUGAAAGUGUUCUAUAUUUUUUCUAAGAA